UACGUAGGGGGCAAGCGUUGUCCGGAUUUAUUGGGCGUAAAGGGCGUGUAGGCGGCCAGACUGGUCUGCUGUGAAAACUCGAGGCUCAACCUCGAGACGCCGGUGGAAACCGUUUGGCUAGAGUCCGGAAGAGGAGAGUGGAAUUCCUGGUGUAGCGGUGAAAUGCGCAGAUAUCAGGAAGAACACCCGUGGCUAAGGCGGCUCUCUAGUACGGUACUGACGCUGAGACGCGAAAGCGUGGGGAGCGAACAGG
rnacentral:rRNA from 1 species